rnacentral:rRNA from 1 species
GUGAAUUGCAGAAUCCCGUGAACCAUCGAGUCUUUGAACGCAAGUUGCGCCCCAAGCCAUUAGGCCGAGGGCACGUCUGCCUGGGUGUCACGCAUCGUUGCCCCCCGAACCCCCCUCUCGGGGGAUCUUUGGGUUGGGCGGAAAUUGGCCUCCCGUGCGCUCCCCGCUCGCGGUUGGCCUAAAUUCGAGCCUCUCGGCGACCGUGCCGCGACGAUCGGUGGUGAAACGAGCCUCUUGAACUCCGUCGCGUGCGCGCGUCCUCGUGCUGUGGGCUCGCGGACCCUUCGAGCGCUUUUCUAUCUCUGACGCUGCUCGCUUUGCGACCCCAGGUCAGGCGGGACUACCCGCUGAGUUUAAGCAUAUCAAUAAGCGGAGGAAAAGAAACUUACCAGGAUUCCCUUAGUAACGGCGAGCGAACCGGGAAGAGCCC